AGUCGGUCGGGGUGGAGUAAAGGUACUGUCUCUCUCAAACACACACACACUACUUAGCAGUGCGACACUUUCUCACAUGGUUGUGGGCUUCCUUUUCUUUACUAGUUUUUGUUGACCGCUGAGAAAGACAUACCCUCUGUGUUUGGUAGAGCAGGAGUCAGAGGAGAGGACAGGAGAGGGGCCAGACUCACCCAGGUGGAUUGAGGUAGGAGUGGACGGAGGGGUCACCCAUGGAGGACGGUCACUCUGAUAUUCCCCACUACUGACCCCCUUGUCUUGCGUCCUGCUUUCUCAGGAAAUGGGAGGCUGUAGAGGAUAUGACAUUCAGUCAGCAGACUAACUGGACAGCUCUACUGUACGCCACAGGGGACAGUCAGCCAACACCCAGCAUUCAGACACCUGUGAUUGACUGUGAGAACCUCUGGGACCAACUGCUAUUAAGCUGUGUUGUCAUGGCAACGGCAUGGUUACGUAAGUGUUUUGGCCUGGUUCUCAUAAUCACAGAGCUCUUUGUGUCCCAGUCGUUUUUUUCGACACUGGACACCCCAGCUGCGAUCUGUUCACUCACUGUACAUUCCUCCACCUGAAUGUGAUAUGAUGAAGAUCAGGUGGGAUCCACAGGUGUGUGUGCUGCCUGCCACGCCCUACGUGAAACACACGUGUGUGUUGGGUGGUCAUGAUGUCAUCGUCAACACUAGCCCCAUUGUAAAUAGAAAUAGGGUUUGGGGAGGUGCAGAGCGGGGUGUCACUCAGUCACAUGGACAGCAGCCUGUGCCCUGCCGUGUCCAUACAUACCUGCAGGACAGGUACAGUAAGCAGGACACAAUAAGGAAGCUAUUGUAAGGCUGAGGCAAGCACUGUCAAACAGGUAAGAUAUCCCGACUAGUGUUUAGUGGCUGUGAGAGUAGUUUGUUUGGUUACUCAUGGAUGUGGAGUGUUUGCCCACACACACACACACACACACACACACACACACACACACACACACUCUGUGGUCAUGUGGUGUUUCUAUGUGUUUUUCCCAGGACCCUUGGCAGGCAGAGAGGUCGCUGAGCUCUGAGAACAACAGUUAGUUGGUUCUACAGUUAAGAGGUAGUGUCCAAAGUGUGGAGGAUGAUGUCACACGUCAGCUGUCCUCAUAGCUGGGCUACCAUGGCAACGACAUUCAUCAGAAUGACUUCCUGCUAAAGCAAAGUACUGUCACGAUCACAUUCUGUACUGACAGAUCACUUUAUACUGAUAAUUAUUGUGUUUGUGUAAGGUUAAGCAUAGAAAUGCUAAGCCAAACGAGUGGACUGUCUUUGUAAAUUUACUUGUCAUCCAUGUCACAACUGCUGCACAGAGUUUCUAAAUAAGCAAAGUAUCCUCCAAAAUCUUUGCUGCUGCCGUGCAUCCACUGCAUCCCUACUGUCCGGCAGGGAAAGUCUUCCCCCAGAGGCUGGUUUCACAUGGUGGUUUAGAUUAAUGUUCCCAGUGUCUAGCACCAUUUGAAAUCAGUGUUCUUGGGGACAGGAGAACAGCACUGUGCCUCUGGUAGUGUCAGUCUACUGGAGCCAUCCUCUCUCUCUCCCCUUUAAAGGAUGACUGAUUUCCUCUGGUGUUUAGAGCCCCUUACAGCCUUCUAGCACCAUUUGAAAUCGGUUAUAAUAACUGGGGAUCAAUGCCUCGAUGUCUUCACGAUGUCUACAUGUCAACUCUACAGUCAAGCAGACAGGAAAUGAAUUGGAUGAAUGUUCAUAUGGUACGUGUCACAGGGUUCUGCUCCACAGAUCCUGGAAUCGAAAUGAGUUGGACGGGAGCUCAUUUCCAGUGGGACAGUUUUAAAGUUUUUAUUGAAUAAAUGUUCAAUAAAACUGAAUUGAUAUUGCAUACUUAUCUUACUUUUUCCUGUGUGUAUGUUAUCACAUUUGUGUCCGUGGUUCUGAACCUGCAUGUGAACUAUAUAACCCUGUUCUGCUAGGUAUAAAACUUAUCCGAGCUCAAGGGAUCAUAACAAGUCUUUUCACAAUACCCUCACUCAUAACAGAUUUAAUCACUGUUAUAUCUAGAAGCACUCAACACAAUCCAACACUUACUUUAUAACGUGAUAAUGGAAACAGGAAAGGCCUUUUAUUGCAGGACUUGUCCCAGACACUGCACAGAACCACAGAAGAUAGCGUCUACUGAGUACGGAAUCUUAAACCGGGAAAGUUCCUGUUCUGUAAUGUGGAUGAAUGAGUUCCAAGGAAGCCUGAUGUUCUCAAUAAGGUUUUAAAGUUGUGGAAGUUUAUCUUAUCUCUGCUCAGUGUCCCUGUCGCCUGUGUUACCAUGUCACUCUCCGGGUCUGACAAGACAUGCAGUGCACAACUGGCAUCUAUUCAUUUAGUGUGUUGUUAGGUGUAGAUAAAGGUGUGGUUGGAUAGGGCGACGGCAUUGAUGGUGGUUAGCAUGGUAGUAUGAACAUGAUCAUGGAUUUGAACUUGGAGACCAUCCCAGAGAAUGCAGUUGAACUGGGAGAGGAAGAGGAGGAGGCAAAGGAAGAAAAAUAAGUGCCUCUCCACAUUCAAGCGCUCCAGUAGUACAACUUGGACCCGAGGUCAUUCUGUGUACAUGAUUAUUAGCUGAGAUACUAUGCAAUUUCAACUCACAUCAUUCUUUUAGAACCUGCCAUUAUUCCAUAAUGAGCUAUUUCCCUCAAAUCAAUGGGGUUUUAAUGGAGCCUAGUUGUCCUAGCAUCUCUCCCAUUGCCCUAGGGCACUGCAGUAGUACACUUUUCCUUUCACCUUGGUGGCCUUGUAUGAGUCAAAUGCAAACAGACAUCAAUGCCACCAAUAUAUUACCUGACUGUAUGGGCGUUUCAACCCCCAUAGGUGAGCUUUUCACAGGUGGUUGGUGGUACCCUAAUUGGGGAAGACACGCUCGUUGUAAUUGUUGGAAUGGAAUGACUGGUAAGAAACACAUCAAACCUGUGUUAUUAUGAGCCAUUCUUCCCUCACCAGCCUCCUGUGGAGCCUGUAUUGGCUAGGUUGAAGACAAAAUAGGUAAGGACAAGUUGCAUUCAUGAAAUUAAACAGAUUCCUGUUUAUUCUAGUUGAUAACAAGCAUCGCCUGG
rnacentral:lncRNA from 1 species